AAGGCGCCUCGCAAAGUCUCGCGCCAUCCGAGUCCGGCAGACGAAGUCGGCCAGCCCCACCCCCCAAGGCUAUAGCCCACCCGUUUUUGUGGGCUUUUUCCGCUGGACGAACCUGGCGCCCCGGCCUUCGGGCAGUUACUUUUGGGCGCGGCUGUGCCCGCGGCCUUUUUUUGGCACACGGAGGUGCCUCGCAAAGUCUCGCGCCAUUCCGAGUCCGGCGGACGAAGUAGGCCAGCACCACCCCCCAAGGCUAUAGCCCACCCGUUUUUGUGGCCAUUUUCCGCUGGACGAACUUGGUGUCCCGGCCUUCCAGCGGUUAUUUUUGGGCGUGGCUUUGCCCGCGGCCUACUUUUGGCACACGUAGGCCCCUCGCAAGGUCUUGCUGCUUUCCGAGUCCGGCUGAUGAAGUUGGCCAGCCCCACACCCCAAGGCUAUAGCCCACCCGUUUUUGUAGCCUUUUUCAGCUGGACGAACUUGGCGCCCCGGCCUUCGGGCGGUUAUUUUUGGGCGCGGCUUUGUCCGCGGCCGAUUUUUUGCAUACGGAGGCCCCUCACAAAGUCUCGCGGCAUUCCGAGUCCGGCGGACGAAGUUGGCCAGCCCCACCCCCCAAGGCUAUAGCCCACCCGUUUUUGUAGACUUUUUCCAAUGGACGAACCUGGCGCCCCGGCCUUCGGGCGGUUAUUUUUGGGCGCGGCUUUGUCCGCGGCUGAUUUUUUGCAUACGGAGGCCCCUCGCAAAGUCUCGCGGCAUUCCGAGUCCGGCGGACGAAGUUGGCCAGCCCCACCCCCCAAGGCUAUAGUCCACCCGUUUUUGUGGGCUUUCUCCGCUGGACGAACAUGGCGCCCCGGCCUUCGGGCGGUUAUAUUUGGGCGCGGCUGUGCCCGUGGCCUAUUAUUCGCACACGGAGGCGCCUCGCAAAGUCUCGCGCCAUUCCGAGUCCGGCGGACGAAGCUGGCCAGCCCCACCCCCCAAGGCUAUAGCCCACCCGUUUUUGUAGCCUUUUUCAGCUGGACGAACUUGGCGCCCCGGCCUUCGGGCGGUUAUUUUUGGGCGCGGCUUUUCCGCGGCCGAUUUUUUGCACACGGAGGCCCCUCGCAAAGUCUCGC
rnacentral:lncRNA from 1 species